GAUGAACGCUGGCGGCGUGCCUAAUACAUGCAAGUCGAGCGAACAGACGAGGAGCUUGCUCCUUUGACGUUAGCGGCGGGCGGGUGAGUAACGCGUGGAUAACCUACCUGUAAGACUGAGAUAACUUCGGGACACCGGCGCAAAUACCGUAUAAUCUAUUGAACCGCGUGGUGCAAUGGUGAAAGUCGGUUUUGCUGGCACUUAUAGAUGCAUCUGCGCCGCAUGAGCUGGUUGGUAAGGUCACGGCUUACCACGGCAACCAGGCGUGGCCGACGGGAGAGGCGGAUCGGCGACCCGGGAGCGGAACCACGCACCAUACUACUACGGUAGGCACCAGUAGGGAACGUGCGGCAGCGGGCGAAAGUCUGGCGGAGCAACGCCGCGUGAGUGAUGACGGUCUCCGGAGCGUAAAACUCCGUUAUUAGGUAAGAACAAAUGUGUAAGGAACUAUGCACGUCUUGACGGUACCUAAUCAGAAAGCAACGGCUAACUACGUG
rnacentral:rRNA from 1 species